AUUGAACGCUGGCGGCAGGCUUAACACAUGCAAGUCGAGCGGAGAGAGGUAGCUUGCUACUGAUCUUAGCGGCGGACGGGUGAGUAAUGCUUAGGAAUCUGCCUAUUAGUGGGGGACAACAUUUCGAAGGGAAUGCUAAUACCGCAUACGUCCUACGGGAGAAAGCAGGGGAUCUUCGGACCUUGCGCUAAUAGAUGAGCCUAAGUCGGAUUAGCUAGUUGGUGGGGUAAAGGCCUACCAAGGCGACGAUCUGUAGCGGGUCUGAGAGGAUGAUCCGCCACACUGGGACUGAGACACGGCCCAGACUCCUACGGGAGGCAGCAGUGGAGAAUAUUGGACAAUGGGCGCAAGCCUGAUCCAGCCAUGCCGCGUGUGUGAAGAAGGCCUUAUGGUUGUAAAGCACUUUAAGCGAGGAGGAGGCUACUUUAGCUAAUACCUAGAGAUAGUGGACGUUACUCGCAGAAUAAGCACCGGCUAACUCUGUGCCAGCCGCCGCGGUAA
rnacentral:rRNA from 1 species